rnacentral:rRNA from 1 species
AUUGAACGCUGGCGGCAGGCCUAACACAUGCAAGUCGAACGAGUGGCGGACGGGUGAGUAAUGUCUGGGAAACUGCCCGAUGGAGGGGGAUAACUACAGGAAACGGUAGCUAAUACCGCAUACCAUCGGAUGUGCCCAGAUGGGAUUAGCUUGUAGGUUUGGUAACGGCGCACCUGGGCGACGAUCCCUAGCUGGUCUGAUAGGAUGACCAGCCACAUUGGAACUGAGACACGGUCCAGACUCCUACGGGAGGCAGCAGUGGGGAAUAUUGCACAAUGGGCGCAAGCCUGAUGCAGCCAUGCCGCGUGUAUGAAGAAGGCCUGCGGGUUGUAAAGUACUUUCAGCGGUGAGGCGUUACCCGCAGAAGAAGCACCGGCUAACUCCGUGGCAGCCGCCGCGGUAAUAC